GAUGAACGCUGGCGGCGUGCCUAAUACAUGCAAGUCGAGCGAACAGAUAAGGAGCUUGCUCCUUUGACGUUAGCGGCGGACGGGUGAGUAACACGUGGGUAACCUACCUAUAAGACUGGAAUAACUCCGGGAAACCGGGUCUAAUGCCGGAUAACAUUUAGAACCGCAUGGUUCUAAAGUGAAAGAUGGUUUUGCUAUCACUUAUAGAUGGACCCGCGCCGUAUUAGCUAGUUGGUAAGGUAACGGCUUACCAAGGCAACGAUACGUAGCCGACCUGAGAGGGUGAUCAGCCACACUGGAACUGAGACACGGUCCAGACUCCUACGGGAGGCAGCAGUAGGGAAUCUUCCGCAAUGGGCGAAAGCCUGACGGAGCAACGCCGCGUGAGUGAUGAAGGUCUUCGGAUCGUAAAACUCUGUUAUUAGGGAAGAACAAAUGUGUAAGUAACUGUGCACGUCUUGACGGUACCUAAUCAGAAAGCCACGGCUAACUACGUG
rnacentral:rRNA from 1 species